rfam:Flavonifractor plautii ATCC 29863 genomic scaffold Scfld385, whole genome shotgun sequence.
AGCUCCAGGCGGAAGCCUGUUGAUAUAGAUCCGGGAGCCGGAAACGGGAAGACGGGUGCAAAUCCCGCGCAGUCCCGCUGCCGUAAGAGAACAGUCGGUGCGCAUGGGCCACUGGGGCGACCCGGGAAGGCGCGCAGCGGCGGAGACGCUCAAGCCGGAAAACCGUACCGGCUCCGAAUUCACAG